rnacentral:lncRNA from 1 species
AUGCAGAUGUCUGUACUACAGACAGCUACAGAGGAGCCCCCAGCUAAACAGGCCGAGGGGCCAUGGCAAAGCGCAGGGGCCCCGUGUCGCAGAAGUGCUAGGACUGCCCAUGGGCACGUGAAGGUGUUGGCAGCACCCCGGAGGUGCACUCGCAACCCGGACAGCCCUGAGGAGCCCCAGCUGCUGCCAUUCUCACUGCAGAAACUCACGGGUUUCUCCCCAAAGGAUGCUCUUCAGCAAUGCUUUGAGGAGCAAAGCGAAUUUCCUCCUCAAGGGGGAACUGUUAAGCUGUCUCAGAGAGCAAUCCCCAAGCCAAGAUCUGUUACGCUCCUCUCUGUCCGGGAGUCCGCUGGGGACAUGUUUCUUCACCAAAACAUACUGCUAAGAGAUGCUGGAAGUUUAAAAAUCAGUCUGCAGCACAUCGUGCUCCAGGAAUGUAAAUGUGAGGGAAGUUCACUGCUUUUCUCUGGGCUUCCUCCACCACUGCAGCUUGUGAAGGAUCCUCUCCUCCUGGACAUGUGCAGCACCCAAAUAACUCUUGAGCCACAGCAACAUGAGAGGAAAAGAUGGAAAUAAAGAGGAGUGGGGUUUUGAAACCCAACCUGUUUGUCACAUUCUUAUUCCUACCCUUUAUUUUUGCUGAUUUCCUCAGCUUCUGGUGGCAGCAAGGUGUUAUUAUUUCCAUUUUACAUGAAUGACACCAAAGAGGACAGGGGAAAGUAUUUAUAGCAGAAAAUAAUAAGGCUUCUCCUUUGUUCCCCAAAAUAGCAAAGGUCUAACACAAACCAGUCAAAAAGCCUGUACAAUUUCUCUGAUGCCAGACAGAGAAACCCAUCAUCUGAUGAAUUUCUAUGCAUGCCUGACCUGAAUUCCAUGUAAAAGUGCUGGGUGUGCUUUCUUUUGAAGCUGUUCCCUGUAAAACAAGGAAAGAAACAAGUUCAUUCAUCAGUUUGCCUUCUUUUUUAGGGUAUGAAUUAAAAAGAUGCUUCCAGACAUUGAGAACGUUCCUCCUACAUGAGUGAGUAACAACUGCACAUCCCUCAGGACUGGGGAAAAAAAAGAAAAUCCCUCUUUUUUGUGUCACUCUCAGGCCAUCAGCAUUAUCAGGCAUAUGCAGCUCU